CUCGUUUUCCCUUCCCUCUCUGUGGCCUGAUUGUCAUUGUGCCCUCCUGUGUCUCGUCAGUGUCGUGUCUUUUUAAGUUCCCUUCUUCCAUGGACCGGUGCUGGAUCCUUUUUUGUGUGCGUUUUGGAUUGUGUUUCGGUUUGUGCUCCUUCGUGUACUUGUGACUCAGUGUUUUGCCCUGAGUGUUUUCCUCCCUGCCCAUGCUCUGUUUUUGCAUUGUUUUUGAAUUUCUGCAUUUUCUGUUUUUGCGAGUUAAGAACUUUGUCCAUUUUUGACUUGCUUUGCGCGGCUUUGUUUUUGUUGUUUUGUUGUUUUUGUAUUUAUUAAAAGUAACUUCCUCGGUUUUGUGUUUA